CCUCUCUCAGGGUCGCACCUGGAGAGUUUUCAGUACUCUACCAGUCUCGGCUAUGGAGGUAGAGUCACACAAAGGUUUAACUAUUCCAUUCCUAGCUUGGCCAGUGGCUAGCGAGUGGAAGGCAAUCUGCUACAAGU